rnacentral:rRNA from 1 species
AAAAUUGCACAAUUGGGCGAACUCUUAUGCAGCAACGCCGCGUGGGUGAAGAAGGUCUUCGCAUCGUAAAACUCUGUCAUUGGGGAAGAAUAAAUGACGGUACCCUAUGAGGAAGCCCCGUCUAACUACGUGCCAGCAGCCGCGGUAACACGGAGGGGGCGAGCGUUGUCCGGAAUUACUGGGCGUAAAGGGUACGUAGGCGGCUAUAUAAGUCAGGUGUGAAAUACCAGUGCUUAACACUGGAAUUGCAUUUGAAACUGUGUAGCUUGAGUGCAGGAGAGGAAAGUGGAAUUCCUAGUGUAGCGGUGAAAUGCGUAGAGAUUAGGAGGAACACCAGUGGCGAAGGCGACUUUCUGGACUGUAACUGACGCUGAGGUACGAAAGCGUGGGUAGCGAACA